ensembl:lncRNA
CUGGGAUAAUUCUUCUAGCAGGGGGUGAUCGAGAGUCGGGGUUGGAUUGGUAUUGAUGCUGUCCAGUAGGGGGCGGUGUAGUUGGGGAAGGGUAAGGUUGGAGUUGUCCAGCAGGGGGCGCUGUAGUUGGGGAAGGGUAAGGUUGGAGUGGUCCAGUAGGGGGCGCUGUAGUUGGGGAAGGGUAGAGUUGGAGUGGCUCAACUUUUGGCGGAGGGGGAGGUGUGGCUUGGGACUGAGUGAGAGAACUCAAAAAAUGGCGGCCGUGAUGCUAUAACUCUGUGUGGCCUGUCUAACACACGAGAGCGGAUGAGAGACUAGGGGGUAACUCUUGUCACUCUUGGAGGAGGAGAACGAGAAAAAAGGAGGAAAAAACAGGGGGGAGGGAAGCAAAAAACAAC